rnacentral:rRNA from 1 species
AUUUNGCGCAAUGGGGGAAACCCUGACCCAGCAAUGCCGCGUGAGUGAAGAAGGCCUUCGGGUUGUAAAGCUCUUUCAGAAGGGAANAAAGGUUCAAGGUCCAAUAGGCCUUGGAUUNGNAGGUACCUUCAAAGAAACCCCCGGCUAACUUCNUGCCACCAGCCNCGGNAA